AAUAGAUACCCUGGUAGUCCACGCCGUAAACGAUGAGUGCUAAGUGUUAGAGGGUUUCCGCCCUUUAGUGCUGCAGCAAACGCAUUAAGCACUCCGCCUGGGGAGUACGACCGCAAGGCUGAAACUCAAAGGAAUUGACAGGGACCCGCACAAGCGGUGGAGCAUGUGGUUUAAUUCGAAGCAACGCGAAGAACCUUACCAGGUCUUGACAUCCUCUGACCAUCCUAGAGAUAGGACCUUCCCCUUCGGGGGACAGAGUGACAGGUGGUGCAUGGUUGUCGUCAGCUCGUGUCGUGAGAUGUUGGGUUAAGUCCCGCAACGAGCGCAACCCUUGUCCUUAGUUGCCAGCAUUCAGUUGGGCACUCUAAGGAGACUGCCGGUGACAAACCGGAGGAAGGUGGGGAUGACGUCAAAUCAUCAUGCCCCUUAUGACCUGGGCUACACACGUGCUACAAUGGAUGGUACAAAGGGCUGCGAAGCCGCGAGGUGGAGCCAAUCCCAUAAAACCAUUCUCAGUUCGGAUUGCG
rnacentral:rRNA from 1 species